UGGGGAAUAUUGCACAAUGGAGGGAACUCUGAUGCAGCGACGCCGCGUGAGUGAUGAAGGAAUUCGUUUCGUAAAACUCUGUUCUAUGGGAAGAAAAGGACUGUACCAUAGGAGAAAGCUCCGGCUAAAUACGUGCCAGCAGCCGCGGUAAUACGUAGGGCGCGAGCGUUGUCCGGAAUUAUUGGGCGUAAAGGGCUUGUAGGUGGCUGGUUGCGUCUGUCGUGAAAGCUCAUGGCUUAACUGUGGGUUUGCGGUGGGUACGGGCUGGCUUGAGUGCAGUAGGGGAGGCUGGAAUUCCUGGUGUAGCGGUGGAAUGCGCAGAUAUCAGGAGGAAUACCGGUGGCGAAGGCGGGUCUCUGGGCUGUUACUGACGCUGAGGAGCGAAAGCGUGGGGAGCGAACAGG
rnacentral:rRNA from 1 species